rnacentral:lncRNA from 1 species
GUAGGUGUUUUUCCUUUUACGGAAAUGAGGUAACUGAGGCUCAGGAGUUAGGGAACUCUGCUGAGAUUAGAACCCAGGACUCCAGAAAGUUCUUAACAUUUUACUUUGCUAGGAGAAACCUACAAGUGGAUCAGAGAUUUCGUGAAUCAGAAUCUCUGAGAUGGGUGGAGAUGAAACGGGCUUGCCUGGUGUGAAAGAUCCAGGACAUUCAGGGCUUAUUGCUUACAGAGUGCUUUCACAAGCACUGUUCAUUGGAUGCUCACAACAGUCUUGAGAGGAGUAACGUCAGCAUCAUGGUGGAGUGAGCUCUCCCAGUAAACUCUCCCCUCAACAAUACAACGAAAAGGACAUUUAUAUUCCCACAGAGGACACCCAUACAACACUAAAGAUGUGUGAGAGACCC